GGUGAUGAAGCCUUAAUAGGAAGACAGUGUCAAAAUUGGUUUUGGCCAUCAAGGAGAAGCGACCAGAAUUGGUCAAUCGUAAAGGUGUCAUAUUCCACCAGGACAACGCUAGACCGCACACUUCUUUGGUCACUCUCCAAAAACUGAGUGAGCUUGCCUGGGAACUUUUGAUGCAUCCACCAUAUAGCCCUGACCUUGCCCCAUCAGACUACCAUUUAUUACGAUCUUUGCAGAACUACUUACAUGGUAAAACUUUCAGCAAUGAUGAGGCUAUAAAAUCACACUCGGUUCAGUUUUUUUGCAUAUAAAGACCAGAAGUUCUAUGAGCGUGGAAUACUAAAUUUGCCAGGAAGAUGGCAAAAGGUUAUCGAACAAAAUGGCAAUUAUAUAUUUGAUUAAAGUUCAUUCUAAGUUUUAUGAAAAAUGCAUUUACUUUCUUUUAAAAAAUCCGCAAUUACUUCAAUAAUAAUAAUAAUUAAAUAUUUUGCAUACCUUAAUGCUCUUUGUUAUUGUUGGUAAUUGAUACGUAAACCGCGACAUAAAUAUUUUUCUGAGGCAUUUGGUAAAGCGUUAAUACGUCAGAUCUUUAAAAUUUGUAACUGUGGGCACAGACAAUUUGAAAAUUGUUUAGUGCAUCAUUUGACAUAGGACACCUUGUUUUAUAAAUUCUUUUUAAGUAAAUUCUUUUUCAUUUAGGCUGGAGCUACAUUCGGAAAGUGGAAAUAAUAAACCAGAACUAAUUUUUAUGGACCAAGUAGAAGAUAUAUCAUCGGAUUUCAUUCUGCACAAAAACGAGAAUUGCAUUCAAAUUCGCAUUAAUGAUGGAACCCGUGAUGGCAGAAUCAUUUUGACAAACUCAGAUGAAAUAGGAUUAAAAGAAUGGUCAUCUUCCCUAAGAUCGGCACACAAAAUUUCUCAAGACCUCUUGGGAUCAAUGGCUAAAAAAGCUGGAAAAAUAUAUGGCAGUGAAAGAGACGUCAACAAAUCCAUGUAUAUUUUUGGUGCGAACUGCUCAACGAAAACUUCUAACGGGUCUAAUUAAUAUUUAAUUGUAUUCAGUUUAUAAGCCCAAAGAUUUAUAAUAUGUAAAAUGUAGAGAUACAUCUUAUAAAAAUAAAUGUGAAACUCCUUGAAGAUAAAA